GGCCUUUUCCUCUAAUGGUUAGGAGGCCGGCCUUUCACGCCGGAAAUGUGAGUUCAACUCUCGCAAAGGUCACCA
rnacentral:tRNA from 2 species